CAGCAGCCACGGUAAUACGAGGGGGGCAAGCGUUGUUCGGAUUUAUUGGGCGUAAAGGGUGCGUAGGCGGUUUGGCAAGUCUUGUGUGAAAUCUUCGGGCUCAACCCGAAGCCUGCACGAGAAACUACUGGGCUUGAGUAUUGGAGAGGUGAGUGGAAUUUCCGGUGUAGCGGUGAAAUGCGUAGAUAUCGGAAGGAACACCUGUGGCGAAAGCGGCUCACUGGACAAUAACUGACGCUGAUGCACGAAAGCUAGGGGAGCAAACAGGAUUAGAUACCCCAGUAGUCCCUGUCUCUUAUAC
rnacentral:rRNA from 1 species